rnacentral:lncRNA from 13 species
UAUGGUCUGGCUCUGUGUCCCCACCCAAAUCUCAUCUUGAAUUGUAAUCUGAAUUGUAAUUGCCACAUGUUGGGGGAGGGACCUGGUGGGAGGUGAUUACAUUAUGGGGGUGGUCUCCCCAGGCUCUUCUUGUGAAACUGAGUUCUCUUGAGAUCUGAUGGUUUUGUAAGGGGCUUCCCCCUUUGCUCCGCACUCAUUCUCUCUCCUGCUGCCCUGUGAAGAGGUGCCUUCUGCCAUGACUUUAAGUUUCCUGAGGCCUCCCCAGCCAUGCAGAACUGCCUGUCAAGCACAGAGACUACCAAGAUGGAGAAGUUGCAGCCCUGGUCCUCAAGAACUUGCCUGCACAUGGAAAAAUAGAAGCUGAGAGGCAGCUGAAAGGCCAUAUAAGGGCAUAGUAAGAAGGCGGCUGUCUACAAGCCAGGAGGAGAGGCCUCACUGAGAAUCAGCCCUGAAGAAACCACAACCUUGGACUUCUGGCCUCCAGAACUGUGAGAAUAAAUGCCUGUUGUUUAAGC